rnacentral:miRNA from 14 species
UUUCUUCUUCUGAAAUAUACUUGGAUAAGCAUUUCUUGGAUUUAAUAAGAGAUCUUUUAUGUAUGAGUAUCUUUUAUUGGUCUGAUGGAAAAUGUAAAAUUGAGGACUUACGUGGAUUAAGG